rnacentral:rRNA from 1 species
UGGGCAACCUGCCCCUGACUUCGGGAUAACGCUUCGAAAGAGGUGCUAAUACCGGAUACGAGUCCUCUAGGCAUCUGGAGGACUGGAAAGUUUUUCGGUCAGGGAUGGGCCCGCGGCCUAUCAGCUUGUUGGUGAGGUAACGGCUCACCAAGGCAACGACGGGUAGCUGGU